UUUCCUCAGUCGAGUUCUAUGCUCAUCCUAUGAGGACAAGGUUUAUUAUUCCAUUUUACAAAGGAGCAGACUGAAGUUCAGCAUAAUUCCCUAAAGUCACAGGACUUUGGAGGUGGCAGAGCAUGGAUUUGAACCUGUCUCCAGUUUUUCAACUCCAAAAUCAUCUUCAUAAUCACCAGGGCUCAUUUCUUUCAUGAGCCUCUUGUGUGACUCCCACCCAGUGUGUGAAUCUGAGCUCAUCUCGGGGCAGCGGCCCGGGCCUUACACUGUCGUCCUCGUGGUUUAGGGGAUGCAGAUGUAGAGAGGCCAGGGUUUGCAACCCUGUCUAAAAUCCACAUGACUCUUUGAUGUUGUUGUUUUUCUGUUUUCUUUGGUUCAUUGUGAAAUAAUUACAUGUUCAUUGUCAAAAAUGGAAUGUAUCAAGUGAUAAACAAGUGCAGAGGUUUACCUUCAUUCCCACACUCCCAGGCGGAGCUCACCAUUAGGCUUCCAGAUGCUUUUAUCACAUACAAACUCCUGUCCCUCCAUCCAGCUGUCCAUCCAAACACUUGUUCACUCACUCACUCAUUCAUUCAUUCAUUCAUUUGUUGAGCCAUACUCUGAGCUGCUGUUAUGUGCUAAUCCUAGAGUGAAGCAUGAAGAGUUAAAUAGAGGAGAUGCAGUACCUGGUCAGGGGAGUGAAGUGAAGAGAAUAAGCACCUUGCAGGGACUAACAGGGACCUCCUUCAAGUGGCAGACCUCUCCCUGGCUUUUCUGGAAGUGCAUCCAAGAUAAAGAGAUUGUCAGUGGUUGACUGAUGGCCAAACAACCCAGAGCUACUCUUCCUAGCAACUUCAGCAAGAAAGUCUAUUGAUGGCCCCAGGCCCGAGAACCAAUCACCGAGUGGGGCAGCGCGUGGGUUCUCCUGUGAGUCAGAGUUGGUCACGUGCUCAGGCCUGAAGCUGGCGCUGAGCCUUCAGCGCCAGAUGGACUGGGUUCCCUGCCGGAAGGUGAGGCCCUGUUAUCAGAAGGAGCCAGUCUGGAGCAGGAGAGGGGGGCUCUGGGGUACAGAACAGCGAAGACUGUCCAG
rnacentral:lncRNA from 1 species